rnacentral:lncRNA from 1 species
AUUCAUCUCUCCAAGAAGAUGUGCCCUAGCACACCUGAGGACAUUGAACGCAUGAGCAAGAUCCCUUAUGCUUCUGCAAUAGGGAGCCUCAUAUAUGCCAUGCUAUGUACACACCUGAUAUAGCCCAUGCUGUGAGUGUCACAAGCAGAUAUCAGUCGAAUCCAGAUGAAGAGUACUAGACUUCUGUGAAAUGUAUCCUUAAGUACUUGAGAAGGACUAAGGAUAUGUUUCUAGUCUUUGGGAAUGGAGAACUCCAGGUUCAGAGAUUUACAGACUCAGACUUUAUGUCUGAUAUAGAUGAUCGAAAGUCGACAUCUGGGAGUCUAUUCAUUUGCAAUGGUGGUGCA